rnacentral:lncRNA from 1 species
CAAAAGGGACCAUUUCCAUUGUGAUAAAGUAAGGUAUUGGAAAAUAAAAUUACAAGAGCUAUCUUGCAAGUGUAAAGCAAUAAAAAGAUACAAAAAUUUGUAUAUGUAUUAGAUACCGUAUGUAGUUCCUACUUAUACAAAUCAUUAUAGAGACUACAGAAAAUAAGAAAGCUAAAGAAAGGUGACUUCGAGCUGAUUGGCACA